UACGUAGGGUGCGAGCGUUAAUCGGAAUUACUGGGCGUAAAGCGUGCGCAGGCGGUUUUGUAAGCCAGAUGUGAAAGCCCCGGGCUUAACCUGGGAAUGGCAUUUGGGACUGCAAGGCUCGAGUUUGGCAGAGGAGACUGGAAUUCCUGGUGUAGCAGUGAAAUGCGUAGAUAUCAGGAGGAAUACCGAUGGCGAAGGCAGGUCUCUGGACUGAACUGACGCUCGAUGACACGAAAGCGUGGGAGCAACAGG
rnacentral:rRNA from 1 species